UACGUAGGGCGCGAGCGUUGUCCGGAAUUAUUGGGCGUAAAGAGCUCGUAGGCGGCCUGUUGCGUCCGCUGUGAAAUCCCAGGGCUCAACCCUGGGCGUGCAGUGGAUACGGGCAGGCUGGAGGCAGGCAGGGGAGAACGGAAUUCCCGGUGUAGCGGUGAAAUGCGCAGAUAUCGGGAGGAACACCUGUGGCGAAAGCGGCGCACUGGACCACAACUGACGCUGAGGCGCGAAAGCUAGGGGAGCAAACAGG
rnacentral:rRNA from 1 species